AUACAAUUGCUUCGUACAUAGGUCCCCUUUUGAUCACAAACUUUGUGAACUUUUUAACUACAAAGAAUGACAAUUCAAGCCACUACCAUGAAUUGAUUCUUGCAUUGAUCUUCUUUUUGGCGAAGACAGUAGAACCACUGUCUCAAAGGCAAUGGUAUUUUGGGGCACACAGCACACUGUUUGGGCUUCCGAGUACGUGCAACCCUUAUGGAUGUUUAUGGUCUUGACAAUUGAAAGUAAUUCGGAUCUCAUACCGCUCAAUUCUCCUUAUCAAUAG